CAGCCGCCGCGGUAAUACGUAGGGUGCAAGCGUUAAUCGGAAUUACUGGGCGUAAAGCGUGCGCAGGCGGUUUUGUAAGACAGUGGUGAAAUCCCCGGGCUCAAACUGGGAACUGCCAUUGUGACUGCAAGGCUAGAGUGCGGCAGAGGGGGAUGGAAUUCCGCGUGUAGCAGUGAAAUGCGUAGAUAUGCGGAGGAACACCGAUGGCGAAGGCAAUCCCCUGGGCCUGCACUGACGCUCAUGCACGAAAGCGUGGGGAGCAAACAGGAUUAGAUACCCUGGUAGUCCACGCCCUAAACGAUGUCAACUGGUUGUUGGGUCUUAACUGACUCAGUAACGAAGCUAACGCGUGAAGUUGACCGCCUGGGGAGUACGGCCGCAAGGUUGAAACUUAAAGGAAUUGGCGGG
rnacentral:rRNA from 1 species